CCUGGAAUCUUUUCAUCUCUUCUUUGCUGGUGCAAAACUUAAUGCAAAUUUUAGAAUGUGAUGGGCAUUUUCUUGGUGGAAAAAAUACCAGCUGUGCGAAACAUACAGUCUUUGAACUUGAGCUUUAACCUUGCAUUUACAUCCUAAACUGGCUGCUGUAGAUAGUAUACUGUCAUUAGAGAAGGUCAGUAUCAAAUCUCUCUCUUCACAUCCUCACGUUCAACAAGAAUGUGGCUCAGUCUCCAGGAGCACUCAACGGUUCUGGUACUAGAAGGGAGUGCUCUGGGAAGAAGGAAACAUUUCUGAACCAAGGUGGCUGCUGCUCACAGACGGGAGUGAGUCGGCACUUGUGCAGCUCCACGGCGGAGGGGCUGAGACGCAGAGAGAGCUGGGAGGGAGAGGAGAUGGGAGCUGGCAUGUGGUGUCGUUGAACAGAUUUAAAGAGAAGACAAGCUAAAUUCAUAAAACAAAGAAGCAUCAAAGACAACUGAACCAGGGCAAGAAGUGGUGAAAGUUCAGCUGGGGAAACAAUCUGCUACUUCAUGCAUACCUUAAGAAAUGAAUGAAAGCUUUGAAACCUCAGUGAAACCCUCACAAAUGAGAGUAGGAUGCUCAUCUUUUAAC